ensembl:lncRNA
AAACAGUGUCCUGCAAACAUGUGUGUACAUAAGCACAUGGGAACAGUCUGGAAGGAAUGAGGUCACGCUCCUAAUCUUCGCUGCCUCUGGAAGGGACCAGGCUACAGAGUGGCGAUAGGGUGUGCGUGCGUGUACACAAGUCAAGUUGGGGGGUACUGGCUUCAACUGUAAUGAUUUUACUUUUUAACUAAACAAUAAUGAACAAUAAAGCAUGUUCCAGGUCAGGGGAGACAGAGGCGAUAGGGAAAUGCCAAACCACACUCAUGAAGAACAAAGAAACACCGUGACGCUCUGCAGUCCGCUGGUGGGUUUUGAGUCUUCACUUUAUUACUAUGUCACCAGAAGUCACCACCUUCACUGGUUCACCACAAAUGGACGGAUGUCAUAGAGGAGGGUGCCAUGGGGCCACUGGAUUCACUCGUGAGAGACUUAACCAGGUGGUGGGGGAGUCCAGAGUGGGGGCCCAGGAUGGGGACUGCCAUUCACUGCGCACACGCACACACACACAGAUAUAUUUGUGGAGCCUUAUAUUAUACAUCUUAUAUAUAGAAAAUAUAUAUAUUUAUACUAUACACAGGCAGUAACGCUGCGGGCAGGGCGGGGGCACCCAGACAAGGGCUGUGGGCACCUGGGUACGGGGAGUGUCACAUUGAGGGGCAGCGCCAGGAGAUGGGUGGACACGUCCAUCCUCCCACAAACUCUUGUUGGGAGGGGUGCUCCCCCUUUGUGCUCCAUAGAGAAUCAAAGGGGUCUUGGGCCAAGACUGGGGGCUCCCGAGGGGUAGUACGGGGGGGUGGUCUUGGUUACAUGGGGGAAGCCUGAGAUCCCCAACAGACUUUGAAGAUCAAGAAUCACCUGGGAAGGCAGGAGUGGGGAGCAGAUGCUGGGACCCUCUGAGCUGGCCCCAACAGUUACACCCCCAGGUGUGGCAGGAGCCACACCCAGGCAGAUGACCUGUGACUGCACAAUCAGAGGCUGGAGACCUGGAUCUGGAACCUCUAGCUCUGUGCUUAACCAUGGACAAGUCACUGUCUUCCUGGCCCAGACUUCACCCCUGUAAGGGUCCUCGAAGCUCUAAACUCGUGUGGAACUCAGUUUUCCUUGGCCCUCUCUAGUACUCGAUGGGAGGAGGGGGUCCAAACUCAGCAAGGUCAGACUGCAGGGGUGCCCUUCUCCAAGGAAAGGCUUGGAAGCAGGGGGGAGGCAGAGGAGGGGCAGCAGGGAGGGAAAGGGGGUGCCACUGACCUGUGAGCACUGGCUCCAGGCUUGAGGCCUCCAGGGGAUUGUCCCCAGCCAACAGAAGCAGCAAGACUUGCCCACCGACCACUCAGAAGGGGAGUCAGGAGCCCUGGGUCUCAAUUAAAUCCUGCGCUCCACAUCUCUGGUCCUCUCUUUCUCACCCACCAGGGCACAGCCUGACCCCGGAUGGGGUCCUGCCUGGGCGGCACCCCAGGACUAGUGGGGAAUGCUGAGUGAAAUGACUCAGCACCCCCAUUCCUGGCAGGGGGUCUGGUAAACCUUCCCAUUCUGGGGUGGCAGGGAGACGCUGUAAUAAAUAUGCAGUACCUUGCUCUCUCACCCAGCAUCACCAGCAGCUGGUCAGUGCCAGGGGAACAGACAGGCAGCACCCUGGGGUCUCCCCAGCAAGGGAGGCUUUUGAUAGGGAGGAGACGAGGGGGAGGACUUCUCAUAGCAUCCUGUGUGGACACCAAACUUCUCUUUGCCAGAAACAGACCACAUCCACCUGCACCCUGACCUGCUUUGCAAACCUCUGGUCUAGUGCAGCCCCACUGCUCAACUUGGAGGAUACCAGAGUCCCAGCCUGUUCCAACCUGGGCCACCUGGGGGAGCCCCUUCCCCAGACGUGGAAAGUUGAAGUCCCCAACAAGCAGCUGUCAUCCGGCUGUCUGGGGUCCUCUCCCGUCACCGCUGCCCCUUGGGAGGACUUGAUCAGACCUGAUCCAUGCUCCACUGCUAACUCACUCGCGCGCUGAGCCUCAGUUUCUCCUUCUGUUAAGUGGGGGCAAUGAUGCUGCUUCUCUGCCAAGGAAAUUCCCGCUCCUUCCCUCACUGCCACACUAACACCUACCCAUCCUCCGGGCCCCUCCGUGGGAACCCGCAUCCAUACAGCUGUACUCACACAGCGCCUGGCCCCUGUAAGGGACCCUGGGUCCAGCGGUCGGUUUAACGCUCAUCUCUGAGGAUAGUCAGCUCCUCAAGGGCAGACACCCCACCCUCUGUGUUCCCGCCACAAAUGCCCCAUCACUGCUGAGUCAACAGGCAAGUGGGUGGCUAUGACCUGCCUCUUAGGGUUCUCGUGGGGGCUGGUGGUGG